rnacentral:rRNA from 1 species
GAACGCUAGCUACAGGCUUAACACAUGCAAGUCGAGGGGCAGCAUGGUCUUAGCUUGCUAAGGCCGAUGGCGACCGGCGCACGGGUGAGUAACACGUAUCCAACCUGCCGUCUACUCUUGGACAGCCUUCUGAAAGGAAGAUUAAUACAAGAUGGCAUCAUGAGUCCGCAUGUUCACAUGAUUAAAGGUAUUCCGGUAGACGAUGGGGAUGCGUUCCAUUAGAUAGUAGGCGGGGUAACGGCCCACCUAGUCUUCGAUGGAUAGGGGUUCUGAGAGGAAGGUCCCCCACAUUGGAACUGAGACACGGUCCAAACUCCUACGGGAGGCAGCAGUGAGGAAUAUUGGUCAAUGGGCGAGAGCCUGAACCAGCCAAGUAGCGUGAAGGAUGACUGCCCUAUGGGUUGUAAACUUCUUUUAUAAAGGAAUAAAGUCGGGUAUGGAUACCCGUUUGCAUGUACUUUAUGAAUAAGGAUCGGCUAACUCCGUGCCAGCAGCCGCGGUAAUACGGAGGAUCUGAGCGUUAUCCGGAUUUAUUGGGUUUAAAGGGAGCGUAGAUGGAUGUUUAAGUCAGUUGUGAAAGUUUGCGGCUCAACCGUAAAAUUGCAGUUGAUACUGGAUAUCUUGAGUGCAGUUGAGGCAGGCGGAAUUCGUGGUGUAGCGGUGAAAUGCUUAGAUAUCACGAAGAACUCCGAUUGCGAAGGCAGCCUGCUAAGCUGCAACUGACAUUGAGGCUCGAAAGUGUGGGUAUCAAACAGGAUUAGAUACCCUGGUAGUCCACACGGUAAACGAUGAAUACUCGCUGUUUGCGAUAUACUGCAAGCGGCCAAGCGAAAGCGUUAAGUAUUCCACCUGGGGAGUACGCCGGCAACGGUGAAACUCAAAGGAAUUGACGGGGGCCCGCACAAGCGGAGGAACAUGUGGUUUAAUUCGAUGAUACGCGAGGAACCUUACCCGGGCUUAAAUUGCAGAUGAAUUACGGUGAAAGCCGUAAGCCGCAAGGCAUCUGUGAAGGUGCUGCAUGGUUGUCGUCAGCUCGUGCCGUGAGGUGUCGGCUUAAGUGCCAUAACGAGCGCAACCCUUGUUGUCAGUUACUAACAGGUUCCGCUGAGGACUCUGACAAGACUGCCAUCGUAAGAUGUGAGGAAGGUGGGGAUGACGUCAAAUCAGCACGGCCCUUACGUCCGGGGCUACACACGUGUUACAAUGGGGGGUACAGAGGGUCGCUACCACGCGAGAGGAUGCCAAUCCCCAAAACCUCUCUCAGUUCGGACUGGAGUCUGCAACCCGACUCCACGAAGCUGGAUUCGCUAGUAAUCGCGCAUCAGCCACGGCGCGGUGAAUACGUUCCCGGGCCUUGUACACACCGCCCGUCAAGCCAUGGGAGCCGGGGGUACCUGAAGUGCGUAACCGCGAGGAGCGCCCUAGGGUAAAACUGGUGACUGGGGCUAA